rnacentral:rRNA from 1 species
GUAAGGAAUAUUGGUCAAUGGACGGAAGUCUGAACCAGCCAUGCCGCGUGGAGGAUGAAGGUCCUCUGGAUUGUAAACUUCUUUUAUAGGGGGCGAAAAAAGGGAAUUCUUUCUCGUCUGACGGUACCCCAUGAAUAAGCACCGGCUAACUCCGUGCCAGCAGCCGCGGUAAUACGGAGGGUGCAAGCGUUAUCCGGAUUCACUGGGUUUAAAGGGAGCGUAGGCGGGCAUGUAAGUCAGUGGUGAAAGCCCUCAGCUUAACUGAGGAACUGCCAUUGAUACUAUAUGUCUUGAAUGUCGUUGAGGUUUGCGGAAUAGGUCAUGUAGCGGUGAAAUGCUUAGAUAUGACCUAGAACACCUAUUGCGAAGGCAGCAGGCUAAACGAAUAUUGACGCUGAGGCUCGAAAGCGUGGGGAUCAAACAGGAUUAGAAACCCCAGUAGUCC